AUUGAACGCUGGCGGCAUGCCUUACACAUGCAAGUCGAACGGCAGCGCGGGGCAACCUGGCGGCGAGUGGCGAACGGGUGAGUAAUAUAUCGGAACGUACCCUGGAGUGGGGGAGUAACGUAGCGAAGUUACGCUAAUACCGCAUACGAUCUAAGGAUGAAAGACAGGGGACCGGCAAGGCCUUGUGCUCCUGGAGCGGCCGAUAUCUGAUUAGCUAGUUGGUA
rnacentral:rRNA from 1 species